rnacentral:rRNA from 1 species
UUUUUGACAAAGGGGGCAACCCUGAUCCCACCAAUCCGCGUGAGUGAAGAAGGCCUUCGGGUUGUAAAACUUUUUUGGUCGGAACGAAAUGGGCGGGUCUAAUACUCCCCUGGGAUGACGGUACCGUAAGAAGAAGCACCGGCUAACUACGUGCCAGCAGCCGCGGUAAUACGUAGGGUGCGAGCGUUAAUCGGAAUUACCGGGCGUAAAGCGUGCGCAGGCGGUUUUGUAAGCCGGAGGUGAAAUCCCCGGGCUUAACCUGGGAAUGGCCUUCAGGACUGCGAGGCUAGAGUGCGGCAGAGGGGGGUGGAAUUCCACGUGUAGCAGUGAAAUGCGUAGAGAUGUGGAGGAACACCGAUGGCGAAGGCAGCCUCCCUGGAUAGCACUGACGCUCAUGCACGAAA